AUUGAACGCUGGCGGCAGGCCUAACACAUGCAAGUCGAACGGUAACAGGAAGCAGCUUGCUGCUUCGCUGACGAGUGGCGGACGGGUGAGUAAUGUCUGGGAAGCUGCCUGAUGGAGGGGGAUAACUACUGGAAACGGUAGCUAAUACCGCAUAAUGUCGCAAGACCAAAGAGGGGGACCUUCGGGCCUCUUGCCAUCGGCUGUGCCCAGAUGGGAUUCGCUUGUUGGUGGGGUAACGGCUCACCAAGGCGACGAUCCCUAGCUGGUCUGAGAGGUUGACCAGCCACACUGGAACUGAGACACGGUCCAGACUCCUACGGGAGGCAGCAGUGGGGAAUAUUGCACAAUGGGCGCAAGCCUGAUGCAGCCAUGCCGCGUGUAUGAAGAAGGCCUUCGGGUUGUAAAGUACUUUCAGCGGGGAGGAAGGGAGUAAAGUUAAUACCUUUGCUCAUUGACGUUACCCGCAGAAGAAGCACCGGCUAACUCCGUG
rnacentral:rRNA from 1 species